UACGUAGGAGACGAGCGUUGUCCGGAGUUACUGGGCGUAAAGGGUGCGCAGGUGGCGGCGCGCGUGGGGGGUGAAAUCGCCCGGCUUAACUGGGCGGGGGCCUUCCAGACGGCGUGGCUUGAGCAGCGGAGGGGGACGUGGAAUUCCGGGUGGAGCGGUGAAAUGCGCAGAUAUCGGGAGGAACACCAGUAGCGAAGGCGGCACUCUGGGCCGGUACUGACGCUGAGGGGCGAAAGCUAGGGGAGCAAACAGG
rnacentral:rRNA from 1 species